GACGAACGCUGGCGGCGUGCUUAACACAUGCAAGUCGAACGAUGAAGCCGGAGCUUGCUCUGGUGAAUUAGUGGCGAACGGGUGAGUAACACGUGAGUAACCUACCCUUGACUCUGGGAUAACUGCGGGAAACUGUAGCUAAUACCGGAUACGACCCUCGGAGGCAUCUCCUGGGGGUGGAAAGAAUUUCGGUCAAGGAUGGACUCGCGGCCUAUCAGCUAGUUGGUGAGGUAAAGGCUCACCAAGGCGACGACGGGUAGCCGGCCUGAGAGGAUGACCGGCCACACUGGGACUGAGACACGGCCCAGACUCCUACGGGGGGCAGCAGUGGGGAAUAUUGCACAAUGGGCGCAAGCCUGAUGCAGCAACGCCGCGUGAGGGAUGACGGCCUUCGGGUUGUAAACCUCUUUUAGCAGGGAAGAAGCGAAAGUGACGGUACCUGCAGAAAAAGCACCGGCUAACUACGUGCCAGCCGCCGCGGUAA
rnacentral:rRNA from 1 species